GGGCCAUAGCUCAGUGGUAGAGGAUCUGCCUUGCAUGUAGGAGGUCCAAAGUUCGAUCCUUGACACCCCCA